rnacentral:lncRNA from 1 species
AUGAAAUGUGCCUAUCAGUGCACAGAAGCACUUUUGGGAGAAGUGUGGCCAUGCUGGCCCUGGCUAGCUAGCACUGCAGCACCCAUACAGCUUGACAGGUUCCAGACACAGCUGGCUCAGCUCUGGCUUGGGCAUCUCUUCAGGAUUCAGCCAGCGUCAUGCAAGUGCCUCUGCAGUAGAAGGGCCCCUGAUCUGCAUCCAGCAACCCAGCACCAUGCUCCACACAGACCCAGAAGGAGGCUCCUCUGCUGGCAAUAAACACCUCACACCUGGGAGACAGGCUCCCCUAAUUAGUAUUAAAACCCGAAGUUUUUUUCCACCAUGCUUUGAAGCUUUCUAGGAUGCCUUUCUGUGAAUAAUAAUGUCCUCAAUUCAACAUAAUGCAACGCUCAAUCAAAAGGAGCUACAGCAAUCACUUCCCAACAAGCCACAUCGCCCCUUCCCCUCCCUCUGUACAACUGAUGAUGCAGGAAAAGUCCAGCCUGGAAGAGGUGCUCAGAAGCUG